CAGUUUGCAGGCUGCUGAUGGCGAGAGUGAACUCUGUCCCAGAUCCACUGCCACUGAACCUUGGUGGGAACCCAGAUUGCAAAACAUCUGCAGCACUAAUC